rnacentral:rRNA from 1 species
GACGAACGCUGGCGGCGUGCCUAAUACAUGCAAGUUGAGCGCUGAAGGUUGGUACUUGUACCCACUGGAUGAGCAGCGAACGGGUGAGUAACGCGUGGGGAAUCUGCCUUUGAGCGGGGGACAACAUUUGGAAACGAAUUCUAAUACCGCAUAAAAACUUUAAACACAAGUUUUAAGUUUGAAAGAUGCAAUUGCAUCACUCAAAGAUGAUCCCGCGUUGUAUUAGCUAGUUGGUGAGGUAAAGGCUCACCAAGGCGUUGAUACAUAGCCGACCUGAGAGGGAGAUCGGGCAACAUGGGACUGGGACACGGCCCAAAACCCUACGGGAGGCAGCAGGAGGGAAACUUCGGCAAUGGACGAAAGUCUGACCGAGCAACGCCGCGGGAGUGAAGAAGGGUGUCGGAUCGGAAAACUCUGUUGGUAGAGAAGAACGUUGGUGAGAGUGGAAAGCUCAUCAAGUGACGGUAACUACACAGAAAGGGACGGCUAACUACGUG